AUGAACGCUAGCUACAGGCUUAACACAUGCAAGUCGAGGGGAAACGACAUCGAAAGCUUGCUUUUGAUGGGCGUCGACCGGCGCACGGGUGAGUAACGCGUAUCCAACCUGCCCACCACUUGGGGAUAACCUUGCGAAAGUAAGACUAAUACCCAAUGAUAUCUCUAGAAGACAUCUGAAAGAGAUUAAAGAUUUAUCGGUGAUGGAUGGGGAUGCGUCUGAUUAGCUUGUUGGCGGGGUAACGGCCCACCAAGGCAACGAUCAGUAGGGGUUCUGAGAGGAAGGUCCCCCACAUUGGAACUGAGACACGGUCCAAACUCCUACGGGAGGCAGCAGUGAGGAAUAUUGGUCAAUGGACGAGAGUCUGAACCAGCCAAGUAGCGUGCAGGAUGACGGCCCUAUGGGUUGUAAACUGCUUUUAUAAGGGAAUAAAGUGAGUCUCGUGAGACUUUUUGCAUGUACCUUAUGAAUAAGGACCGGCUAAUUCCGUGCCAGCAGCCGCGGUAAUACGGAAGGUCCGGGCGUUAUCCGGAUUUAUUGGGUUUAAAGGGAGCGUAGGCCGGAGAUUAAGCGUGUUGUGAAAUGUAGACGCUCAACGUCUGCACUGCAGCGCGAACUGGUUUCCUUGAGUACGCACAAAGUGGGCGGAAUUCGUGGUGUAGCGGUGAAAUGCUUAGAUAUCACGAAGAACUCCGAUUGCGAAGGCAGCUCACUGGAGCGCAACUGACGCUGAAGCUCGAAAGUGCGGGUAUCGAACAGGAUUAGAUACCCUGGUAGUCCGCACGGUAAACGAUGGAUGCCCGCUGUUGGUCUGAAUAGGUCAGCGGCCAAGCGAAAGCAUUAAGCAUCCCACCUGGGGAGUACGCCGGCAACGGUGCAACUCA
rnacentral:rRNA from 1 species